rnacentral:rRNA from 1 species
GUCCACGCCGUAAACGGUGGGUACUAGGUGUGGGUUUCCUUCCUUGGGAUCCGUGCCGUAGCUAACGCAUUAAGUACCCCGCCUGGGGAGUACGGCCGCAAGGCUAAAACUCAAAGAAAUUGACGGGGCCCGCACAAGCGGCGGAGCAUGUGGAUUAAUUCGAUGCAACGCGAAGAACCUUACCUGGGUUUGACAUGCACAGGACGACGGCAGAGAUGUCGUUUCCCUUGUGGCCUGUGUGCAGGUGGUGCAUGGCUGUCGU